GACGAACGCUGGCGGCGUGCUUAACACAUGCAAGUCGAACGGAAAGGCCCUGCUUUUGUGGGGUGCUCGAGUGGCGAACGGGUGAGUAACACGUGAGUAACCUGCCCUUGACUUUGGGAUAACUUCAGGAAACUGGGGCUAAUAACGGAUAGGAGCUCCUGCUGCAUGGUGGGGGUUGGAAAGUUUCGGCGGUUGGGGAUGGACUCGCGGCUUAUCAGCUUGUUGGUGGGGUAGUGGCUUACCAAGGCUUUGACGGGUAGCCGGCCUGAGAGGGUGACCGGCCACAUUGGGACUGAGAUACGGCCCAGACUCCUACGGGAGGCGGCAGUGGGGAAUAUUGCACAAUGGGCGGAAGCCUGAUGCAGCAACGCCGCGUGCGGGAUGACGGCCUUCGGGUUGUAAACCGCUUUCGCCUGUGACGAAGCGUGAGUGACGGUAAUGGGUAAAGAAGCACCGGCUAACUACGUG
rnacentral:rRNA from 1 species